CCCUACGGGGUGCAGCAGGCGCGCAAACUUUACAAUGCGAGCAAUCGUGAUAAGGAAACCCUGAGUGCCUGUCGAUGCAGGCUGUUCAUAUAUCUAAAUCAUAUGUGAAGAAAGGGCAGGGCAAGACCGGUGCCAGCCGCCGCGGUAAUACCGGCUGCUCGAGUGAUGGCCACUAUUACUGGGUUUAAAGCGUCCGUAGCUUGACUGUUAGGUCUCUUGGGAAAUCUUCACGCUCAACGUGAAGGCGUCUAAGAGAUACCGGCAGUCUUGGGACUGGGAGAGGUAAACCGUACUUCGGGGGUAGGAGUGAAAUCUUGUAAUCCUCGAGGGACGACCUAUGGCGAAGGCAGUUUACCAGAACAGCUUCGACAGUGAGGGACGAAAGCUGGGGGAGCAAACGGGAUUAGAUACCCCGGUAGUCCCAGCCGUAAACAAUGUGCGUUAGGUGUGUCGGUAACCACGUGUUACUGAUGCGCCGAAGAGAAAUCGUGAAACGCACCACCUGGGAAGUACGGUCGCAAGGCUGAAACUUAAAGGAAUUGGCGGGGGAGCACCACAACAGGUGGAGCCUGCGGUUUAAUUGGAUUCAACGCCGGACAUCUCACCGGAUAAGACAGCUGAAUGAUUGUCAAUCUGAAGGUUUUACAUGACUAGCUGAGAGGAGGUGCA
rnacentral:rRNA from 1 species